AAUCAAGUGGCUUGUCAGUUACGACCAAACUCAACAUUUAGGCGCUCAAACAAAAUAGUUUACCUAGCUGAUAAACAAUGGACCUGAAGAGCCAGCAUUUAUGCAUAUGAUCAAAUCCAACAAAUGGAACUUUCAGAAAUAGCGUUUCUACUUUCAUGAGGUAGGGGUAAGGAAGCCUCAGUAAUAAAUUCUGUGGUCCCUCCGGUGCCCAAUUUAACUAGAACUCAGAAUCCUAUUUUCUAGUAGAAGAUGGAAAAGUAGCGUUCUUUUUUCUUUGAAGGAAAAACGUGUGUUUCGAAGUUUUCUUGAAGAAUAAGAAUUGACUUUUCUUCUCCUCUUUGGACUAGGAAGACAUCUCUAUAAAUAGGGAGUCUUCUAACCAAGAUUUGAUUGAGGAUUCUAUAUACAAUACUUGCCCACCCAAGUAUUGAGGGAGUUCAAUUGUUGAUUGGGAUCACUGUAGAAGACUAUAGAGCUGGAGUUGGAUUUACUUCAAGAUAUCUGCACUUGCUUCAAGAGGAUAUCUACCACUUCUUACCAACAACAGCUUUCGCUAGCAGCAGGUUUCAGAUCCAUGAAAAGAAAACAGGGGAGCAUAAGUAAACAGAGAAGAACAGAAUUGCAGCGAGGCGAAUCAACGAUCACUUAGAAGGGAAAAUUGAUAAUCAUCACAACUAGUAACAGUUACCUUUUGGCACGUUUUGGAUCAAUAGUCCACAGUUCAGCUAAUUUAUCAGGAGCCAUAGCUUUCUUAGCUUCAAUACUCUCCGUCAUCAACAAACUUGAACUAUCAACAGAAUUACU